GUUUGAAUACUCUUAACGAAGUUC
rnacentral:siRNA from 1 species